rnacentral:lncRNA from 10 species
UCCCCCUCUGCGAGAAACACCCAAGAAUGAUCAAUAAAAAAAAAAAUAAUAAAAUAAAAAAUAAAAAAUAAAAAAAAGAAAAUUAACUUUGGUACCAGGUACAAACCAGUCUGGGAGCAGAUCAGCAAAGAAACUCUUGAAAUAAACGGUUAAGAUAAAAGGAGUAACAAAGGUGUAAUACCAACGCAUCGGCAGUGGCGCUGACCUUAGAAGGCUUCCGACAGUCAAUCACAAUACUUCAGGACCUAUCAGAGGUAGGAUCUAAGCCUCCCAGAGUCCCCGCACGCCCUUGUCAGCUUCCCUGCUCCUCUCCUGAUGCUUCCUGGGAUCACUUCCGAAAUAA